rnacentral:rRNA from 2 species
CCGAGGAAAAGAAAUCAACCGAGAUUCCCCCAGUAGCGGCGAGCGAACGGGGAGGAGCCCAGAGACUGAAUCAGCAUGUGUGUUAGUGGAAGCGUCUGGAAAGGUGCGCGAUACAGGGUGACAGCCCCGUACACAAAAGCGCAUGUGCUGUGAGCUCGAUGAGUAGGGCGGGACACGUGGUAUCCUGUCUGAAUAUGGGGGGACCAUCCUCCAAGGCUAAAUACUCCUGACUGACCGAUAGUGAACCAGUACCGUGAGGGAAAGGCGAAAAGAACCCCGGCGAGGGGAGUGAAAAAGAACCUGAAACCGUGUACGUACAAGCAGUGGGAGCCCCACCACUAAGCCAGUGGUGAACUCCACAUCCGCAUCCUUUGCUGAGGAUACGGUUAACGGAGCGAAAGCGACGUUCAACCGCAAAACAAGCAGAGGGGGCUUAGUGGUGGGGUGACUGCGUACCUUUUGUAUAAUGGGUCAGCGACUUAUAUUCUGUAGCAAGGUUAACCGAAUAGGGGAGCCGGAGGGAAACCGAGUCUUAAUUGGGCGUUAAGUUGCAGGGUAUAGACCCGAAACCCGGUGAUCUAGCCAUGGGCAGGUUGAAGGUUGGGUAACACUAACUGGAGGACCGAACCGACUAAUGU